AACGAACGCUGGCGGCGCGCCUAACACAUGCAAGUCGAACGAGAAUCCGGGGCAACCCGGUAGUAAAGUGGCAAACGGGUGAGGAAUACAUGGGUAACCUACCCUUGAGAAGGGAAUAACCCGCCGAAAGGUGAGCUAAUACCCUAUACGCUAUCUUUUUUUCGAAAAGGAUAGGAAAGCCGGGUCGAGGACCUGGUACUCAAGGAGGGGCUCAUGUCCUAUCAGCUUGUUGGUGGGGUAACGGCCUACCAAGGCUACGACGGGUAGCUGGUCUGAGAGGAUGAUCAGCCACACUGGCACUGAGAUACGGGCCAGACUCCUACGGGAGGCGAGCUAGUGGAGGAAUUAUUGCGACAAGUGGGACGAAACGCC
rnacentral:rRNA from 1 species